rnacentral:rRNA from 1 species
GAUGAACGCUAGCUAUAGGCUUAACACAUGCAAGUCGAGGGGAAACGGCAUUAUGUGCUUGCACAUUUUGGACGUCGACCGGCGCACGGGUGAGUAUCGCGUAUCCAACCUGCCCUUUACUUGGGGAUACCCCGUUGAAAGACGGCCUAAUACCCGAUGUAAUUCAUUGAUGGCAUCAGAUAUGAAUAAAAGAUUUAUCGGUAAAGGAUGGGGAUGCGUCUGAUUAGCUUGUUGGUGAGGUAAUGGCUCACCAAGGCGACGAUCAGUAGGGGUUCUGAGAGGAAGGUCCCCCACAUUGGAACUGAGACACGGUCCAAACUCCUACGGGAGGCAGCAGUGAGGAAUAUUGGUCAAUGGACGGAAGUCUGAACCAGCCAAGUAGCGUGCAGGAAGACGGCCCUAUGGGUUGUAAACUGCUUUUAUACGAGAAUAAUUUGAUGCACGUGUGCGUUAUUGCAUGUAUCGUAUGAAUAAGGACCGGCUAAUUCCGUGCCAGCAGCCGCGGUAAUACGGAAGGUCCAGGCGUUAUCCGGAUUUAUUGGGUUUAAAGGGAGUGUAGGCGGUUUGUUAAGCGUGUUGUGAAAUUUAGGUGCUCAACAUUUAACUUGCAGCGCGAACUGGCGAACUUGAGUGCACACAACGUAUGCGGAAUUCAUGGUGUAGCGGUGAAAUGCUUAGAUAUCAUGAAGAACUCCGAUUGCGAAGGCAGCAUACGGGAGUGUAACUGACGCUUAAGCUCGAAGGUGCGGGUAUCGAACAGG